rnacentral:rRNA from 1 species
CCUGGCUCAGAUUGAACGCUGGCGGCAGGCCUAACACAUGCAAGUCGAGCGGCAGCACAAGGGAGUUUACUCCUGAGGUGGCGAGCGGCGGACGGGUGAGUAAUGCCUAGGGAUCUGCCCAGUCGAGGGGGAUAACAGUUGGAAACGACUGCUAAUACCGCAUACGCCCUACGGGGGAAAGAGGGGGACUUUCGGGCCUCUCGCGAUUGGAUGAACCUAGGUGGGAUUAGCUAGUUGGUGAGGUAAUGGCUCACCAAGGCGACCAUCCCUAGCUGUUCUGAGAGGAUGAUCAGCCACACUGGGACUGAGACACGGCCCAGACUCCUACGGGAGGCAGCAGUGGGGAAUAUUGCACAAUGGGGGAAACCCUGAUGCAGCCAUGCCGCGUGUGUGAAGAAGGCCUUCGGGUUGUAAAGCACUUUCAGUAGGGAGGAAAGGUUGUAAGUUAAUACCUUGCAGCUGUGCCGUUACCUACAGAAGAAGGACCGGCUAACUCCGUGCCAGCAGCCGCGGUAAUACGGAGGGUCCAAGCGUUAAUCGGAAUUACUGGGCGUAAAGCGUGCGCAGGCGGUUUGUUAAGCGAGAUGUGAAAGCCCCGGGCUCANCCUGGGAAUUGCAUU